rnacentral:rRNA from 1 species
UACAGAGGAUGCAAGCGUUAUCCGGGAUGAUUGGGCGUAAAGCGUCUGUAGGUGGCUUUUUAAGUCCGCCGUCAAAUCCCAGGGCUCAACUCUGGACAGGCGGUGGAAACUACCAAGCUGGAGUACGGUAGGGGCAGAGGGAAUUUCCGGUGGAGCGGUGAAAUGCGUAGAGAUCAGGAAGAACACCCGUGGCGAAGGCGGCUCUCUAGUACGGUACUGACGCUGAGACGCGAAAGCGUGGGGAGCGAACAGG